AAAUCUUCAAUUACUUGGAAACUAAACAGUACACUUCUAAUCAAUGAGUCGAAGAGGAAGUCUCAAGGGAAAUUAAAACACACAUUGAGCUGAGUGAAAAUGAAAAGACAACCUAGAAAAUAGAUGAUACUCAGUAGUGUUGAGAAGAAAAUUUAUAACACUAAAUGUUCACACUAGAAAAGAGGAAAAGUCUCAAAUCAAUAAUCUAAGCUCCUUUCUCAAGGAAUUGGAAAAAGUAAAGCAAAAGAAACUCGAACAAGCAGAAGGAAGGAAAUAAGAUAAAAAAUUAACAAAAUUGAAAACAAAAAUAAUAGAGAAAAAUCAAUGAAACAAAAAUCUGAUUAUUUGAAAAGAUCAAUAAAAUUGGCAAACAUCUAACAAGAUUGACAAAUAAAAAAAGAGAGAAGACACAAAUUAUUAAUAUCAGGAAUGUAACAGAGGAUAUCAACACAGACCCUGCAGACAGCCAAAGUAUAACAAGGGAAUACUACAAACAACUCCACACACACACAUUUGACAACUUAGAUGAAAUGGACCAGUUCCUCCAAAAGCACAAACUAACACAACUCACCCAAUGUGAAAUGUAUAAUUUGAAUAUCCCUAUAUCUAUUAAGAAAAUUUAAUUCAUAAUUUUAAAACUCCCAAAAAAGAAAUCUCUUGCCCCAAAUGGUUUCACCGGAGAAUUCUAUUAAACAUUUAAAGAUGAAUUAACACCAAUUCUACACAAUUUCUUCCAGAAAAAUAGAAGAGGUGGGAACACUCCCCAACUCAUUUAAUGAGGCAGGUAUUACCCUGAUACCAAAGCCAGACAAGAAAGAGUACCAAAAAAAAAAAAAAAAAAAAAACCAACCCAGAAAAACUACAGACCAAUAUCCCUCCUAAAUAGACACAAAUUCUUAACAAAAUAUUACCAAAUAGAAUUCAGCAAUAUAUAAAAAGAAUUAUACCCUAUGACAAAGUGAGGUUUAUUUCAAUGAUAAAAAUAUAUGCACCCCCAUGUUCAUUGCAGCAUUGUUUACAAUAGCCAAGAUAUGGAAACAAUCUAAGCGUUCAUCAGUGGAUGAAUGGAUAAAGAAAAUGUGGUAUAUAUAUACAAUGGAAUAUUAUUCAGCCAUAAAAAAAGAAUGAAAUCUUGCCAUUUGUGUCAACAUGGAUGGACCUUGAGGGCAUUGUGCUGGGUGAGGCUAAAGAAGAAAAAUCCUAUCAUCGUAUCAACGGAUGCAGAAAGAGCACUUGAAAAAAAUCCAAUAGUGAUUCGUGAUUAAGACUCUUUGCAAAUUAGGAAUAGAGAGGAACUUCCUCAACCUGAUAGAGGGCAUCUAGAAAAAAUCUACAGUUAACAACACACUUAUUGGUGAAAGACUGAAUGCUUUCCCCACAAGGUUGAAAAUAUGACAAGGAUGACCAUUCUCACCACUGUUAUUCUACCUAGUACUGAAAUACUAGCCAGCGCAAUAAGGCAAGAAAAGAAAUAAAAGACAUCUAGAUGAGGAAGGAAGAAAUAAAACUGCCCCUAUUUGAGGUGACAUGAUUAUCUAUAUAGAAAAUCCCAAGAAUCCACUAAAAAUCCUAGAACUAAUAAAUGAGUUCAGCAUCAUCACAUGAUACAAGAUCAAUACGUAAAAAAUCAGUUGUAUUUUAAUAUAUUAGCAUCAACACACAGGCACUGAAAUUAAAAAUACAAUACCAUUCUCAAUCACUCCCCCAAAAAUAGAUACUGAAGUGUAAAUCUCACAAAACAUGUACAAGAUUUGUAUUCUGAAAGCUACAAAAGGCUGAAGAUAUAAGCAAGAUUAUUCUAAAAUAGAAAAGGCAAAGGAACUAUAGUAGCUAAAACACUUUUUAAAAAGAAGAAGAAAGUGGGAGGAAUUAGUCUACCCAAUUUCAAGAUGCAGCUACAGUAAUCAAGACUGUGCAUGGCUGGUGGAUAGACACAUAGAUCAAUGGAACAGAAUAGAGAACCCAGAAAUGGCCUACACAAGUAUGGCCAAUAGAUUUUUUGACAAAGUUGCAAAGGUAAUUCAAUGGAGGAAGGAGAGUCUUUUUAACAAAUGGUGCAGGAGCAAAGGAUGUAUCUUAAAAUAAAUGGUGUUUUCAGUUUGA